GUCAUCCAAGGUACACUGCUAACCUUUAAACCAAAACCAUCAUCAGAGUUGGCUGGGGCCUGUGUGAAACCAGGAUCUGAGCGAGCAACAGUUCAGCGCUCCAGGAUCCAUCAGAACCAUUACAGCUUAUGGAUGGAAACCAACCCCAGAAGGGUCCUGAUUAAUCAGUCCGGGUCACAGGGAUAUGAAACCCCCGCUCCACCCUGUCCUCAGCUAGAAAAGGGCAGAAAAUAAAGGAUGUUUGAUGAACUGCACGGGAAAAACUAUGAACUGGUUAAAUAUUUAACAGAACUGUGAAAAUAAAAUUAGACUAUCCAGA